rnacentral:rRNA from 1 species
CCACACGGUAAACGAUGGAUACUCGCUGUUGGCGAUACACAGUCAGCGGCUUAGCGAAAGCGUUAAGUAUCCCACCUGGGGAGUACGCCGGCAACGGUGAAACUCAAAGGAAUUGACGGGGGCCCGCACAAGCGGAGGAACAUGUGGUUUAAUUCGAUGAUACGCGAGGAACCUUACCCGGGCUUGAACUGCCAGUGACAGAUGCAGAGACGCAUUUUUCUUCGGACACUGGUGGAGGUGCUGCAUGGUUGU